rnacentral:rRNA from 1 species
AACGAACGCUGGCGGCAUGCCUAACACAUGCAAGUCGAACGGGAUCCUGGCUUCGGCCAGGUGAGAGUGGCGGACGGGUGAGUAACGCGUGGGAACCUGCCCAUUGGUCUGGGAUAACUGCGGGAAACUGCAGCUAAUACCGGAUGUACCCGAGAGGGGAAAGAUUUAUCGCCGAUGGAGGGGCCCGCGUCAGAUUAGGUAGUUGGUGAGGUAACGGCUCACCAAGCCUACGAUCUGUAGCUGGUCUGAGAGGAUGAUCAGCCACACUGGGACUGAGAUACGGCCCGGACUCCUACGGGAGGCAGCAGUGGGGAAUAUUGGACAAUGGGGGCAACCCUGAUCCAGCAAUGCCGCGUGAGUGAUGAAGGCCUUAGGGUGUAAAGCUCUUUUACCAGGGACGAUGAUGACGGUACCAUGCAAGAAAGGAUCGGCUAACUUCGUGCCAGCAGCCGCGGUAAU